GGCCCAUCUCCUGGGGACUGGCCUGACCGGCCGAUACUUGACGCAGAUCAGCGUGUGGGAGCGUUGCUGAGCCUACCCCUUCCAAGCUACCCAGAAGAGUUGCUGAGCCUACCCCUCACCAGGAUCCCCCUGAGGACACCACCUUGACCCAGGGGCCUUGAAGGAAAAAAGAAGAGAAAUCUAGAAAGGAGGAAUUGUUGUGCAGAAGAGGAAUGAGAAUAAAGGUCUCAACUGAUCUCAGUUACUCUUGUGCACUCAUUGCCAUUUCUUUGGUUGUGACGUUGUGCUUCACCACAGAAUUCACAGAGAGAACAAGCCAUACAGCCUUUACUAAAUCAAUCUCCUAGGGAAGUACUGAGAAAAUGACAUGAGAAGCACCCACCCCUUCCCCACUGCAGUACUCUGAUUCCU